GACGAACGCUGGCGGCGUGCUUAACACAUGCAAGUCGAACGGAAAGGCCCUGCUUUUGUGGGGUGCUCGAGUGGCGAACGGGUGAGUAACACGUGAGUAACCUGCCCUUGACUUUGGGAUAACUUCAGGAAACUGGGGCUAAUACCGGAUAGGAGCUCCUGCUGCAUGGUGGGGGUUGGAAAGUUUCGGCGGUUGGGGAUGGACUCGCGGCUUAUCAGCUUGUUGGUGGGGUAGUGGCUUACCAAGGCUUUGACGGGUAGCCGGCCUGAGAGGGUGACCGGCCACAUGGGGACGAAGAGACGGCCCAGACGCCAAGGGGGGGCAGGGGGGGGAAAUAUUCCACAGUGGGGGGAAGCGUGAUGCAGAAGCCCCGGGUGGGGGAAGCGGGCUUUUGGGUUGUAAACCGCUUUGCCCGGAGACGAGGCGGGAGUGACGGUAAUGGGUAAAAAAGCCCCGGCUAACUACGG
rnacentral:rRNA from 1 species